rnacentral:rRNA from 1 species
CCUACGGGAGGCAGCAGUGGGGAAUAUUGCACAAUGGGCGCAAGCCUGAUGCAGCCAUGCCGCGUGUAUGAAGAAGGCCUUCGGGUUGUAAAGUACUUUCAGCGAGGAGGAAGGCAUAAAGCUUAAUACGCUUUGUGAUUGACGUUACUCGCAGAAGAAGCACCGGCUAACUCCGUGCCAGCAGCCGCGGUAAU